rnacentral:lncRNA from 1 species
AGUAUUUUUAAAAGAAAAAUUAGAAACAAGGGGUCAAAGUAAAAAAGAAAUUUGGCUAUAUAGGAUGGCCUAGUCAGCAAUCCCGAUGAACCGUAGCACACCGCGUGGCAAGACACACUGAUGUCGAUGCCAUAUGGAAGGCCACGCAGGCGAUCCACAUGUCUAAUGAUCGGGCGACCCAGGAUUGAUUCCAUGUGCAUAGACGACUCAUAUUCAU